rnacentral:rRNA from 1 species
AUUGAACGCUGGCGGCAUGCUUUACACAUGCAAGUCGAACGGUAACAGGUUAAGCUGACGAGUGGCGAACGGGUGAGUAAUGCAUCGGAACGUGCCCGAUCGUGGGGGAUAACGCAGCGAAAGCUGCGCUAAUACCGCAUACGAUCUGAGGAUGAAAGCGGGGGACCGUAAGGCCUCGCGCGAUCGGAGCGGCCGAUGUCAGAUUAGGUAGUUGGUGGGGUAAAGGCUCACCAAGCCAACGAUCUGUAGCUGGUCUGAGAGGACGACCAGCCACACUGGGACUGAGACACGGCCCAGACUCCUACGGGAGGCAGCAGUGGGGAAUUUUGGACAAUGGGCGAAAGCCUGAUCCAGCAAUGCCGCGUGCAGGAAGAAGGCCUUCGGGUUGUAAACCGCUUUUGUACGGAGCGAAAAGGCUCUCUCUAAUACAGGGGGCUCAUGACGGUACCGUAAGAAUAAGCACCGGCUAACUACGUGCCAGCAGCCGCCGUAAGAC